rnacentral:misc_RNA from 1 species
UUGAAUGUAGUGUGUCUCUGGCCUUUACCGGACAGGACACCAUCACACAUCCAUAACACCUGUGCACUGUUGGACACUCUUACAUUCGUGUAGAAGUGUUCACUUUCAUACCUAAACAUUCUUGUAACAAAUGUAGUCUUAUUAUAACAAUAAUA